rnacentral:rRNA from 1 species
GAUGAACGCUGGCGGCGUGCUUAACACAUGCAAGUCGAACGAAGCAUUUCACCUGAUUUUUUCGGAAAGAGGGUGGUCUGACUGAGUGGCGGACGGGUGAGUAACGCGUGGGCAACCUGCCCCAUACCGGGGGAUAACAGCCGGAAACGGCUGCUAAUACCGCAUAAGCGCACAGCGCCGCAUGGCGCGGUGUGAAAAACUCCGGUGGUAUGGGAUGGGCCCGCGUCUGAUUAGCCAGUUGGCGGGGCAGCGGCCCACCAAAGCGACGAUCAGUAGCCGACCUGAGAGGGUGACCGGCCACAUUGGGACUGAGACACGGCCCAA